CAAAGGACGACAUCAAAAAAAUUGCGCUCUGCACCUCUUGUGCGUGUCUGUGCCGUACACGCAGCGCUGACUGAAGAAAAGAGGAAGCGCCGGCCAACGCAGCCCCGACCCCCAGAAAAAAAAACAAAAAGAAAGAGAGAUAAGGAGCAGUGGCAAAAAAGAGAGGCGAAAAAGGUUGCCUCGCGGUGCACGCCGCGCCGAGGGACGAGGGAACAAAAUCAUUCGCUACUACCUCUCACCUGAGCCAAGUUUGGGUAUUGCGUUGCGCGCUCUUUUUGUCUGUGCGCAAGAAACCACUGCGACUACACAGAACAGAUCUAGUCUUUGCCAAGGGGCACUGUCGCCUUUUCCGUGGCGAGCCAUGGUGACGUGCUUCCCUUUUUCCCCUGGAGCGACAAAAGGCCACCCCAACGUCGAUCGCUGUCACCUAUGGCGACACCACCGAUGGCGACUUGGUUUGUAGGGGGACGCUACGAAAGCAGUGGCAUCGGCUCUGAAUCGCGCGUCCAGAGACACAACCCGACCCCUCGUCGCAAAAAAGAUCAAACCACGGCAGGACCCGUAGCAGUUGGGAGGCUCAUACGGCACUGCGUGGUCGAUCAUUGCAUGCGUAUCGGGAGGACCGUGAACAGUGAAAAGGGCCGUUGUUGCAAAGGCGGCUAGGCACAACCCCACCGAAAAAAAAAAGAAUAUACGAGUUCCAGA
rnacentral:lncRNA from 1 species